rnacentral:lncRNA from 10 species
CUCCCGCCUCCGCCUCCUCCCGCCUCCGCCUCCUCCUCCGCCUCCUCCUCCUCCUCCUCCUCCUCCGCCUCCUCCUCCUCCUCCUCCGCUUCUGGCUUCUCCUCCUUCUUCUCAGGCUCAUCACAACAACUUUUACACCUCCUCCUCCUCCUUUUCUUCUUCUUCUUCUUCUUUUUUUUUUUUUAUGGCGUCUCGCCCAGCCUGGAGUGCAGAGGCAGUCUUGGCUCACUGCAACCUCCACCUCCGGGGUUCAACUGAUUUUCCCGCCUCAGCCUGCUGAGUAGCUGGGAUUACAGGCACCCUCAUCAAGUCCGGCUAAUUUUUGUAUUUUUAGUAGAGACAGGGUUUCACCAUGUUGGCUAGGCUGGUCUUGACCUCCUGACCUCGGGUGAUCCUCCUGCCUCGGCCUCCCAAAAUGCUGGGAUUACAGGCGUGAGCCACCACGCACGGCUUCUGUUGUUCGUUGAAAUCAUCAUUUUUCUAAUGUCCUCAUUCUCUGCUGGCUAGUUUAAGGGCUGAUUCAAAAAAUAAAUUUUCACACUGUGAAAUACGCAAGAUGAAGAGAACAUUUAUAAAAUAUCCAUACUGUGCAUCUCUGAAUAAUCUUUUCUUCACAUCAGCGGCAGUACAAAUUAGGUGGAGUUUUAAAAGAUACUUCAGCAACUUACAGAUUACAGCAUGUUAUGUAUCUUCAAGCAGUGAGAGGAUAUUACGUUGCAGAAUUUGGUCAGAAUAUGAAGUUUGGAAGACCCUAUAUUCCUGCAGAUCCUUGGAUUGAGGUUAAUUCGAGAGCAAGCCGUGAGUGAGGCUGCAAAUAUGCCCUUCACUUGACCCGGUCUAUUAACUUUGAAAUGCCUAAAGCCAAAACUGACAGUGGAAGAAAAUCUUUCUGGGUUGUAGUUCCAAACUGUUGGAAUAAAGCUACCUGCUUCAGUAAAAAUGCAUAGGCGUAUUACUUUUCUUUCAGGAAAUGUUAAGCUUUCCUUGAAAUUAAAAAAAAAAAAGAUUUUAGAAUUAAAUGUAGGAAAACUCAAUUUCUCAAUUCUUAUUUUCAAUAUGCUUUAUCUGUACUAUGUUUAAGAGUAUACAACACCUAUGCUAGUGUAAAUGUGGGCCCCAGGAGUCUUAAUCAUAUUAAAAAUUUUGGAGUUUCUUGUCCUAGUAUAUAUUUGCUAAUAAACUUCCAUUGCUUUCAGAG